CGAUUGACGUUACCCGCAGAAGAAGCACCGGCUAACUCCGUGCCAGCAGCCGCGGUAAUACGGAGGGUGCAAGCGUUAAUCGGAAUUACUGGGCGUAAAGCGCACGCAGGCGGUCUGUCAAGUCGGAUGUGAAAUCCCCGGGCUCAACCUGGGAACUGCAUUCGAAACUGGACGUAUAGGAAAUUGAAAAACCAGUCGAUACCAUUGUCCACGCCUUAUGCCACGUGAGCCUUUCUGCUUUUCCCACCACUCCGGUGGUUUCCCUCUCUGUAUGGUCGAUUUUUAUACCGUAACAGGCUGUUUUUUAUACUUUCACCGAUUCCCGGGCACACUUAGCCUGUGUCAGGCCGGCAUAUACCUCAGUAGAC
rnacentral:rRNA from 1 species